GGAAUAAAAGUCGUAACAAGGUUUCCGUAGGUGAACCCGCGGAAGGAUCAUUACUGAGUGAGGGCCCCUCGGGGUCCAACCUCCCACCCGUGUUUAACGAACCUUGUUGCUUCGGCGGGCCCGCCUCACGGCCGCCGGGGGGCAUCUGCCCCCGGGCCCGCGCCCGCCGAAGCCACCUGUGAACGCUGUCUGAAGUAUGCAGUCUGAGACAAUUAUUAAAUUAAUUAAAACUUUCAACAACGGAUCUCUUGGCUCCG
rnacentral:misc_RNA from 1 species